AUUGAACGCUGGCGGCAGGCCUAACUCAUGCAAGUCGAGCGGAUGAGAGGAGCUUGCUUCUCGAUUCAGCGGCGGACGGGUGAGUAAUGCCUAGGAAUCUGCCUGAUAGUGGGGGACCACGUUUCGAAAGGAACGCUAAUACCGCAUACGUCCUACGGGAGGAAGCAGGGGACCUUAGGGCCGUGCGCUAUCAGAUGAGCCUAGGUCGGAUUAGCGAGUUGGUGAGGUAAUGGCUCACCAAGGCGACGAUCCGUAACUGGUCUGAGAGGAUGAUCAGUCACACUGGAACUGAGACACGGUCCAGACUCCUACGGGAGGCAGCAGUGGGGAAUAUUGGACAAUGGGCGAAAGCCUGAUCCAGCCAUGCCGCGUGUGUGAAGAAGGUCUUCGGACUGUAAAGCACUUUAAGUUGGGAGGAAGGGUUGUAGAUUAAUACUCUGCAAUUUUGACGUUACCGACAGAAUAAGCACCGGCUAACUCUGUGCCAGCCGCCGCAGUAAAAC
rnacentral:rRNA from 1 species